rnacentral:rRNA from 1 species
GAUGAACGCUGGCGGCGUGCCUAAUACAUGCAAGUCGAGCGAACAGACGAGGAGCUUGCUCCUCUGACGUUAGCGGCGGACGGGUGAGUAACACGUGGAUAACCUACCUAUAAGACUGGGAUAACUUCGGGAAACCGGAUCUAAUACCGUAUAAUAUAUUGAACCGCAUGGUUCAAUAGUGAAAGACGGUUUUGCUGUCACUUAUAGAUGGAUCCGCGCCGCAUUAGCUAGUUGGUAAGGUAACGGCUUACCAAGGCAACGAUGCGUAGCCGACCUGAGAGGGUGAUCGGCCACACUGGAACUGAGACACGGUCCAGACUCCUACGGGAGGCAGCAGUAGGGAAUCUUCCGCAAUGGGCGAAAGCCUGACGGAGCAACGCCGCGUGAGUGAUGAAGGUCUUCGGAUCGUAAAACUCUGUUAUUAGGGAAGAACAAAUGUGUAAGUAACUAUGCACGUCUUGACGGUACCUAAUCAGAAAGCCACGGCUAACUACGUG